rnacentral:rRNA from 1 species
UAUUAAUCGAUAUUAAGUUUGGAGAGUACAGGCCUAUUGCCUAAAAACCAAAGAAUAUGGCGGUGUCUUAUUCUAUCAGGGGAACCUGUUCCUUAAUGCGAUAGUCCACGAUUAUUAAGCCUAAAUUUGAAACUAUCAGCUUGUGUACUGCCGAAUUAUAGACUUCUAUAGAAUUGUCUGUAAAGUUAUCUAAAAUGGAUAUAAAGUCAGGUCAAAGUGCAGCUUAUGUUUAGGUGGUAAUGGGUUACAUUUAUUUUGAGAUUCGAGUUAGUAUUUUUAAUAUAUUAACGAGGAGGAUUUGAAAGUAAUUUAAUUAAUUAUAGGUUAAAUGAAAUUUGAUUCUAAGAUGUGU